GUUCCUUGUGAUGGAUGAUUCGAUAAACCAUGCUAAUUCUGAUUGUUUUGUGAUUGAAAUUCAAUUCUCACUCACUUCUUCUGAAGGAACA